rnacentral:miRNA from 1 species
ACUGGGAAGAGGAGCUGAGGAAAUUGUCCCUCUCCCUUCCCAG